rnacentral:rRNA from 1 species
AGAGUUUGAUCCUGGCUCAGGAUGAACGCUAGCUACAGGCUUAACACAUGCAAGUCGAGGGGAAACGACAUCGAAAGCUUGCUUUUGAUUGGGCGUCGACCGGCGCACGGGUGAGUAACGCGUAUCCAACCUGCCCACCACUUGGGGAUAACCUUGCGAAAGUAAGACUAAUACCCAAUGAUAUCUCUAGAAGACAUCUGAAAGAGAUUAAAGAUUUUAUCGGUGAUGGAUGGGGGAUGCGUCUGAUUAGCUUGUUGGCGGGGUAACGGCCCACCAAGGCGACGAUCAGUAGGGGUUCUGAGAGGAAGGUCCCCCACAUUGGAACUGAGACACGGUCCAAACUCCUACGGGAGGCAGCA